CUACGGGAUGCUCCAGUAAGGAAUAUUGCACAAUGGGGGAAACCCUGAUGCAGCAACGCCGCGUGGACGAAGAAGGCCUUCGGGUCGUAAAGUCCUUUUCUGAGGGAAGAGGAAGGACGGUACCUCAGGAAUAAGUCUCGGCUAACUACGUGCCAGCAGCCGCGGUAAAACGUAGGAGGCGAGCGUUAUCCGGAUUCACUGGGCGUAAAGGGCAAGUAGGCGGUUGUUUAAGUUAGGUGUGACAUCUCUCGGCUUAACUGGGAGGGAGCGCUUAAAACUAGGCAACUAGAGGGCGGAAGAAGGGGGUAGAACUCCAAAUGUAGCGGUGGAAUGCUCAGAUAUUUGGAAGAAUACCAGUGGCGAAGGCGACCCCCCGGUCCGUGCCUGACGCUGAGAGGCGAAAGCUAGGGUAGCGAACGGGAUUAGAUACCCCGGUAGUC
rnacentral:rRNA from 1 species